rnacentral:rRNA from 2 species
UGGUAAAUCUGUGGGUAAAUCAACCAGCUUAACUGGUUGAAUUCUGCAGAGACUGCCAGACUAGGGACCGGGAGAGGUGUGGGGUACUCUAGGGGUAGGGGUAAAAUCCUGUCAUCCUUAGAGGACCACCAGUUGCGAAGGCGCCACACUGGAACGGAUUCGACGGUCAGGGACGAAGCCUAGGGGCACGAACCGGAUUAGAUACCCGGGUAGUCCUAGGUGUAAACGCUGUGAACUUGGUGUCGGGGAUCCGUCAUGGGUCCCCGGUGCCGGAGUGAAGAUGUUAAGUUCACUGCCUGGGGAGUACGGUCGCAAGGCUGAAACUUAAAGGAAUUGGCGGGGGAGCACUGCAACGGGAGGAGCGUGCGGUUUAAUUGGAUUCAACGCCGGAAAACUCACCAGGGCCGACUGUUAGAUGAAGACCAGUGUGAUGAACUUGUCGGAUUUUCAGAGAGGUGGUGCAUGGCCGUCGUCAGUUCGUACUGUAAAGCGUUCUGUUAAGUCAGAUAACGAACGAGACCCUCAUCUCUAUUUGCUACCUGUCUCUCCGGAGACAGCGCACUAUAGAGAGACCGCUGGUGUUAAACCAGAGGAAGGCGAGGGCAACGACAGGUCAGUAUGCCCCGAAUGUCCUGGGCUACACGCGCGCUACAAAGGACGGGACAAUGGGAAGCCAGGCCGAGAGGUCGAGCUAACCCGAAACCCGUUCGUAGUUCGGAUUGAGGGCUGUAACUCGCCCUCAUGAAGCUGGAUUCCGUAGUAAUCGUGUUUCAAAAUAGCACGGUGAAUAUGCCCCUGCUCCUUGCACACACCGCCCGUCAAACCAUCUUAGUUGGGGGUGGGUGAGGCUGCGCUUCAUGGCGUAUUCGAGCCUGCCUUCGACAAGGAGGGUUAAGUCGUAACAAGGUAUCUGUAGGGGAACCUGCAGAUGGAUCACCUCCUAA